rnacentral:snRNA from 1 species
AUCCAAGUGCACGGGCGUUUUCCUUCUCCGUGAAGCGAUAAGCUGAGAGAGGAAUUUUGCUAGUUGAAAACUAUACACUGACCACUCCUGGCUGGGCUCGCCUGGCCAGGGAAUAUUUGGAACCCUUCAACUCUCUGCUUGUUUGGUGGAAAGA